CACAGGUGGAUAAGCUCCUCUCUCCCUCACAGAACACGAUCGCCCCUCUUCCACUGCAUCCCCACCGGCGGCGAGACGAACACCCACCCCUGCUUGGUCCAUGGCGGCCGCCCUUCCCCAGCCGCUGAUCAUCUAAUGCCCCCCCCCCUUCCUGCCGAUGCGCCGGUCCAUGGCAGCCGCCCUUACCUCUCUUCACGCAGCCCGGAUUCGCCGUCUACGGCUUCCACCUCGCUUCCCUUUUCCCCAUCGCUCUCCAGCCCCGCGACGAACCCGUUCGCCGCCACCAGCCUAGUCCGCAGCCACAGCUCCGCUCCGCCGCCAUGGAUGAGCUUUGCCUCCAACGGAUCGUCGGCACCGACCACCGGGCAGCCUUGGAGGGAUCCGACAGAGGCUCCCCACCUCGACUGCGGCUGGAGGAGGCCAUCGAUGCCUCCUACUUCGCGCCGUCCCAGCAACAAUGAGCGCCGCCGCGUCCGUCCAUGGGUACCCCCUGCUCAGCGUACUUCGUAGACGGUUGACAUGAUGGAUGAGUAGUCUCCUGAUGACGAAGACCCUUAACUAUGAUGUCAUCUACUCUCAUUUGAUGUUCUACAAGCAAUCUUGCCCGGGAACAAAAUGCACAUCAUGGGGAACUUAAGAGUGGAGAAGAAAAACCCAGUCCAGGCAGGUGCGUUGGCUGAGGACUUGGUUGGCACCGACGUCGUCGGCUGCGGAAGGCGGCGAUGGCCAACACUUGCUGGACGGCGAAGGCGCAACAGUGGCUUGGCAGCGCCGACGUCUCACUGCAAUGUGCGUUUGAACGGCGACAUCGAAGAAAGACAUCGAGAUUAACUGGGAUGGAACUGGUCACAAACUGCACAAGAGGAUAAUCUGCACAUGGCGGCGAACCUGCGUUGGCUAGAAGCUCGUCGGCGCGGGCAUCAUCCGCUGCGCAUGGCGGCGAUGGCGCAGGACAGGCUGGGCGGCUGCGACGUACGUCUGGGUGGGCAAAGGCAGGAAGAUCGAGUUGAUUCCCGGACGAAAUGAAGAUCUCCCGGCUGGCCUAACCACACAUGGCGGUCAACCGCGAGGGAGAGAGAAUGUUUCGCUAGAUUGUGAGCUUCAUAGUUUGAGCUCCUAAAUUCAUGACCUAUCUUGCAAGAUAAAAAACUAGAAGAGUGUUCCAAUAUCUCCCGAAGGACAGCUCCAUAAGUAGCUAGCUUGCCAUGAUGCAACUCGUCGACAACCACCUUGCAAUCCGAGGCAACCUGUAUAUCUCGUGCAUAUAGAUCAUCCGCCAACGAGAGAGCUUCCCUUAUAGCUAGGGCUUCCAGCGUUUGAGGCUCUGUGAUAUGUUUGAAAACAAUGGCCUGAAGCCCGGCUUUGCCCUGUUGAUCUCUGCAGAUUGCUCCCACCGAACCAUGCUUCCUUCUCACGGCCACUGCCCCGUCAACAUUGAUCUUGACACAACCUUGGAUUGGGGGCAUCCAUCUUGCACUCCGCGUGACUCUACUUGGUACCACUUGCCUCUCCCUUUUGUUAACUAACUCCAACUCUGACAGAAACUUAU